rnacentral:rRNA from 1 species
CGGCGGACGGGUGAGUAACGCGUGGGUAACCUGCUCAUACAGGGGGAUAACAGUUGGAAACGGCUGCUAAUACCGCAUAAGCGCACAGUACCGCAUGGUACGUGUGAAAAACUCCGGUGGUAUGAGAUGGACCCGCGUCUGAUUAGGUAGUUGGUGGGGUAACGGCCUACCAAGCCGACGAUCAGUAGCCGACCUGAGAGGGUGACCGGCCACAUUGGGACUGAGACACGGCCCAA